UUUCAUCUUCUGCGUUCACCUCACUUCUUUUCUCUCUCUUAUUUCUUCUUCUUUUUUUUUUCCUUUUUUUCGUUUUUUCUUUUUUUCUUUUUUCUUCGAAUUUUUCCUUCGAAUUUUUUCUUCUCCAUUGAGAACUAUCGUAAAUAACGAGGCGAUACGAAUUUUAAUGUGGCUGUAGUACGAUAAUAAUAUUAAUUAAUUUCAUUCAUUAAUUCAUUCAUUCAUCAACUAUUAAUAGUAUAUAUAUAUAUAUAUAUAUAUAUAUAUAUAUAUAUAUAUAUAUGGAAGCAAACAAGAUGUAGAGAAAAAGAUGAUGAAGAAAUGGAAGAUAAUGAAGAGGAAGUAGAAGGGGAAAGAAUUAAAAAAACAAAAAAAAAAAGAAGAAAAAGGGAAAAAAAAGAAAGGGAAGAAAAGAAAGAAACAAAAUAAAACAAAAACUGACGAUUAAUUAAACGAUAUGGAUAUAUAAUAUAUAUAUAUACAUAUAUAUUAUAUAUAUAUAUUAUAUAUAUAUAUAUAUACAUUGGAUGGUAUGUCGUAUGUAUAUGUGUACAUAUAUACACUUUGUACUGGCGCGAGCGUGCGUGUACGUAUACGCAGUAUCCGUGAGAGAGGAAGAGAGAGAGAGAGAGAGAGAUAGAAAGAGAGAGAGAGAGAGAGAGAGAGAGAGAAGUUGGAAAAUUCAAAUCACGUUUUAAUCCUUUAACUCGUUCGCAAUCAUUAUCAUUACUUCGUGAAAUAUCGUGAGAAUAUCUCUAUGAAGAUGAUAGGGCGAGAAAAGGAAAAGGAAGGUGGGGAUGGUAGCGAGAGUUCGUGAUGAGGAGGGUUGAGAGGGAAAAAAGGGCUGAAGGAGGAAAAAGAAGAAAAAGAAGGGCGUAUACUUUCUCUCGCGUCGACUUUCAAAAUGGUACUAAUAUAUACCCAAAGUGCCUCUGGUAGAUUUUUGGGCAUAAAGCUUUUGACUAAUAAAGACUACAUAGCGUUUUAUCUUAUAAAUAAAAGAGGGAACAGGGAAAAAUAUAUAAAAGAGAAUGAAGAGAAGAUGAGAUUGAGAAGAAGGAGAAAUGCAAAGAGUGUGAGAGAGAGAGAGAGAGAGAGAGAGAGAGAGAGAGAGAGAGAGAGAGAGAGAGAGAGAGAAAGAGAAAGAGAGAGAUAAAAGAUAAAAGAUGAAAGAGAAUGAACGAAUAUUAAAGAAUUUUAUUGGAGGAAGUGUUUAAACAUUUUACGUACAUAUUACAUGCAUACAUACAUACAUACAUACAUACAUACAUACAUACAUACAUACAUACAUACAUAUAUACAUAUGUAUUGCACAUAAGUAAUACAUACAUAUUGUACGUAAUGUCAGACACUUUUUAUAUAGACAUAAAGUAUUAUAGUCGGUAGUAUAGUUUCUAUGUCAGAAAAAAAAAAAAAAAAAAAAAGAAAAAAAGAUAUCUCUCUGUCUGUUUGCCCUGAAGCGUCUUUCCCAGAUGAUAUUACACGAUAUAUCCAGGAUAUAUGAAUCCUUUUCGAGAGAAAAAGAAAAAGAAAAAAAAGAGAAAAAUAAGAAAAACGAGAGAAAAAAAAGAUAAAAAAAAAAAGGAAAAUUAGAGGAGAGAAAGAAAGGGAAAAAGAAACGUUCCGUUUGUCUCGACGAAUGGAGAACGCGCGGCCUCUGACCUCUUCCUUCUCCUCCUCCUCCUCCUCCUCCUCUUCCUUCUCCUCUCUCUUUGAUCAUCAAACUCUUCGAUCUUUCUUGUAAUAAUUAUGUCAUCGCGUUCUUUUACCGUACACCCCUAAUAACUUCCAUUUCGAUUCUCUCUCUCUCUCUCUCCUCUCUUUUUCUUUUUAUCUCUCUCUCUCUCUCUCCUCUCUUUUUCUUUUUACCUCUCUCUCUCUCUCUCUCUCUCUCUCUCUCUCUCUCUCUCUCUCUCUCUCUCUCUCUCUUUUCCCCUUUAUUUUACCUCGCAUUAAAUCAUUUUUUAUCACGUGACACGUCCUUCCUUUCGUCACAUCUUUCACUCCCCUUUUUAAUCGAGCCCAUUCCAACGUUGAAUAUCUAAUUAAAAUAUCUAAUCCCAAAUUGGCAACUUUUGCUAAAUAAAAUAUUAUCAUUGUAUCAUCGAUGGUUCCUCGUUAAUUAUGAAAUGUAUGGAUCCCAACACUUUGUAAGAGAUAAGGAGAUUUGUCGGUGUAUGACUGUGUGUGUGUACUGUGCGACUGUACGUGUGUAUGUAUGUGUGUAUAAAUAUCAUGAGAUGUGUGUAUGUGUUUGUAUAUGUGUAUAUGUGAAACGGGUUGCGCAUGUUCUCUGCUGUGGGUAUAUAUCGUCGUAUCAUUCAUUACGUGUGGCUUUGCCGUCGAAAUCCCUCUGCAUCUACCCCUAUCUGAACCUCACCCCUAUCCUCCUAUUAUUUCCCUUAUCCUCAUCAUCCAUCCUACACCAAUCACAUGAUCAUUUUCUCCUCAAUAUUUUGGAAUGACGAUGAUAAUUCAAUUAUCCCGCGUGUGUUGGUUGCCGUUGCGUGUGACGACGGUUUUUCUGCCGUAUACGAAUGGACGAAUUGAAUUUACAAAUGUGCGAUGAUACGCCUAUCCGAGUGUUUUCGGUGUUUCUUAAUGUGUGUACGCCUGUGUUUGUAUAUCUGUGAAAGUCUAUAUCCUUUCUUCGCUAUCUCUAUUUUUCUAUUUCUCUCUCUCUCUCUCUCUCUCCCUCUCUCUCUCUCUCUGGCGCUGAUACUUUUAUUUCUUAUUUCUCUCUAUUUGACUACUACCCUUUAAUCUUUGUCCUUGCAAAAAUUUGUUUCUGCAAAUGAAAAAAUGUUCUGCAAAAAAAAGAAAAGAAAAAAGAAAUAUAAAAAUAAAAAGCAAAUGGAUUAUAUCGAUGAUAAAGAUAUGAGAGAGAGAAAGAGAGAGAGAGAGAGAGAAAAAGAAAAUGAGAGAAAGAGAUAGAGAGAUAGUGAAUAGAAAUAGGAUAUAGAAAAACAAAAAAUGACGAAAGAGUAUCGUACGAAUGUUUCUAGACUGUGCAAGACUGAGAGAGACAGCGGAGGGAG